GUGGAGGACAGAAAACUGAAUAGGAUUCCUUUAGUAAUGGCGAAUGAACCAGGAAGAGCUCACAUUGACAAUCUGUACUUUGUGUCUGGAAUUGUAUUUUAAAGUUGUGUUGCUAAUGAAAGUGUGUGUGCAAGCCAUUUGGGAAAAUGUGGCAACGAAGGUGAAACUCUUGUGUGUCAUAUGCAAGCUUUCAUGCAAGGUAUGCUCCCAAGAAUCGUGUUCCUUGGAAUUGGAGUGCAAAGCAGGUGGUAAAUUUCAUGUGAAGCUAAAUAUAUGUUUGAGACUGAUAGUGUACAAGUACCAUGAGGGAAAUGUGAAAAGGACUUUGAAAAGAAAGUUACAAGUACCUGAAAUUGCUGGAAUGAAAGCAAAUGACAUGAUACUGUUUAGCAAGAUUGCAGUUUGCAGACAUCAAGCAGGGUGUAUGUUAUGUGCGCUUCUGGGCUUGUGUGGGUAUACAGUGUAUCUUGCUUUGCGUGCCAUGAUGAAGCUGCAUGCCAACACCAGACAUGCAUAAGUGACAUGCAUAUUGUAUGUUGUAAAUAUGUCCUUACAUGGUAUGCAGCUUUGUCUUUGUCGCUGGGUGCUGUGCCCCUGUGUGUUUGGUUUAAGGGUGCCAACCUGGCCCAUUGCAUGAAUGUGAUGUUUCAUUUGACCCGUCUUGAAACACGGACCAAGGAGUCUAAUACAUGUGCAAAUCUGUGAGUCAUCAUUUGGGGUGUAAUGAAAAUGACAAUUGGGAUGUGUGCACUGAUAGCCAACCAAUCAACUGUGAGAGGUUUGUGUUUGAGCAUGUGUAUUAGGACCCGAAAGAUGGUGAACUAUGCUUGAGUAGAAUGAAUUCAGGGGAAACUCUGAAGGAAGCUUGUAGCGGUACUGACGUGCAAAUCGUUCGUCAUACUUGAGUAUAGGGGCGAAAGACUAAUCGAACCAUCUAGUAGCUGGUUCCCUCUGAAGUUUCCCUCAGGAUAGCUGGAAUUGCAAAGUUUUAUCAGGUAAAGCGAAUGAUUAGAGGAAUCGGGGGCGUGUUGUCCUCAGCCUAUUCUCAAACUUUAAAUGGGUAAGGUCCAAUGGUUGUUUUGUAAACUUUUGGGGAUAAUGAAAUUCUAUGUGGGCCAUUUUUGGUAAGCAGAAUUGGCGAUGAGGGAUGAACCUAACGUUGGGAUAAGGGGUUAACUGCUCGCUCAUCAA
rnacentral:rRNA from 1 species